UACCAGCACCCCGAGUGGUCGGGACGUUUAUUGGGCCUAAAGCAUCCGUAGCCGGUUCUACAAGUCUUCCGUUAAAUCCACCUGCUUAACAGAUGGGCUGCGGAAGAUACUAUAAGACUAGGAGGCAGGAGAGGCAAGCGGUACUCAGUGGGUAGGGGUAAAAUCCGUUGAUCCAUUGAAGACCACCAGUGGCGAAGGCGGCUUGCCAGAACGCACUCGACGGUGAGGGAUGAAAGCUGGGGGAGCAAACCGG
rnacentral:rRNA from 1 species